rnacentral:rRNA from 1 species
UACAGAGGGUGCAAGCGUUAAUCGGAAUUACUGGGCGUAAAGCGUGUGUAGGUGGUUGCGUAAGUUAGAUGUGAAAUCCCCGGGCUCAACCUGGGAAUUGCGUUUAAAACUGCGUAGCUAGAGUAUUGUAGAGGAUAGUGGAAUUUCCAGUGUAGCGGUGAAAUGCGUAGAUAUUGGAAGGAACACCGGUGGCGAAGGCGACUAUCUGGGCAAAUACUGACACUGAGACACGAAAGCAUGGGGAGCAAACAGG